rnacentral:rRNA from 1 species
CCUACGGGAGGCAGCAGUGAGGAAUAUUGGUCAAUGGGCUUACGCCUGAACCAGCCAAGUCGCGUGAGGGAAGACUGCCCUAUGGGUUGUAAACCUCUUUUGUCAGGGAGCAACGCCGGCUACGUGUAGCCUGACUGAGAGUACCUGCAGAAAAAGCAUCGGCUAACUCCGUGCCAGCAGCCGCGGUAAUACGGAGGAUGCGAGCGUUAUCCGGAUUUAUUGGGUUUAAAGGGUGCGUAGGCGGAAUGCCAAGUCAGCGGUAAAAUCGCGGGGCUCAACCUCGCUCCGCCGUUGAAACUGGCGUUCUUGAGUGGGCGAGAAGUAUGCGGAAUGCGUGGUGUAGCGGUGAAAUGCAUAGAUAUCACGCAGAACUCCGAUUGCGAAGGCAGCAUACCGGCGCCCAACUGACGCUGAAGCACGAAAGCGUGGGUAUCGAACAGGAUUAGAUACCCCUGUAGUC